rnacentral:lncRNA from 1 species
UGCAUCCUUGAGCAGUCCCUUCAUGAAACCACAGCAGAUGUUUCUCAGUCCUUUCAUUUUCUUUUUUCAGAGGAAUUGUAAUCGGCUGCGCUUUAAUUAGGAUCUCCCCGAGGAUACUUCGGCUUUCUUCCACACCCGGGAGUUUGCAGAUUCCCUCUUAGUGCACCAGGCUGAUUAGAUUUCUUAAUUCCCUAAAAUAUGCUGUCUCGAAGCCUAAUACCCCUGUAGGGAUGAGGUCUGUUUCUCUGCCUCUCCUCCCAUUACAGUGCUAAAUCCAGGCAGUGGUCUCCCUUACGGCACUUGCUUCUUCCCUGGCUCCGGACCCCUUUUUUGGAUGGCCUGCAAACCUUCUGACAAAGAAGCAGCCUUGAAAAGACAAAAUGGAUCCAGCAGGGAAUUAGACAGAAAAUAUUUACAGACUCGGUGAACCAAGAGCUGGGUGUUCCGGGCUGUUGAAGAAAAUGGAGUAAUGGGAUAGAAGCUGCUUUCAACUUCCUGCUGAGGACCCAAGGCCAGGAAAAAAGAAAAUUUUUGGAUAUCAGAAAUCAGAACAGGCCUGGAGUUGGGGAAUAAAUUAGGAAAGACACGGACUCAAGCAAAGGAAGACAUCAGAAGUAGAGGUUGGCCAAAGGACAAAACUACAAAGCAGCAAUUGCAGAUUGAAUCAAAUCAUCAGCUACUGGACAUUACAACAUUCACCAUGGAGAGUAACAAUAAUAUGCAUUUAUCAGAACUUCACUAUGUGCCAGGCACAACAUUUUAUGGAAGAUGAACAGGUAGAUAGACAAACAGAUAUGAGUACAUAGCUAGGUAAGUUGGUAGAUAGGUAGCAGGAUUCUCUGUCUCCCUAUUCCUUCUGGUAAGAAGAUAAAAGCUAAUGACUUCAAAAGCAUAACUGUGCAUUCAAUAUUCAUAGAAAGGGUCUGUGUGUGGUAGGAAAGAGACACAGGACAGGCAUGCUUGUCAAUUAAAAGAUUACGGUAGUGUGGUAAACUAGCCUUAUAAGCCUGGGUGAGGAUUAUUGGUGCAGUAUUAACCCUCACAGGAAUAGAUACCCAGUUACGUUUUACUACUCCAGGCUGUUGAAGACAACUGGAAUAAAAAGUCAAGGCAGUGGCCAGAUGCAGUGGCUUAAGCCUGUUAUCCCAGCACUUGGGGAGGCCGAGGUGGGCAGAUCACCAGAGAUCAGGAGUUUGAGACUAGCCUGGCCAACGUGGUGAAACCCCACCU